rnacentral:lncRNA from 1 species
CUUCUUUCGCAAAUUAAUUUCCUCAUCUUCAGUUCGCCACCAUGUCGGCGAAAUCGACCCGUUUCAAUCCGCCGGCAAUAGCAGUAACCAUAUUCUUGGUAAUCGCCACCUUUGCAUACCCCAUCAACGGCUUGAAAUCAAGGGAGCUUGAUGAGAGUGGUGAUCAAGGCGUCAAGUGUACCCCGUCAUGUACACAAACUCCUCCUCCACCACCUCCGCCAUGCCCUCCCCCACCAUCACCACCGGCGCUGUCUCCGCCACCUACACCGAAAAAGCCGCCAACCCAUUGCUGUCCACUUCCCCCUACUCCACCAUCUAUUAUAUACACAACUGGUCCACCAGGGAGCCUGUACCCUAUUGACCAGAACUUUGGUGGUGCGAGCCGGAAUUUCCAGGUGGGGUGUUUGGCUU